rfam:Anolis carolinensis chromosome 3, whole genome shotgun sequence.
UACCAUGUUGGUAGCACACUAAGAACAUCAGAUCCUGUCGGAUCUUGGAAGCUAAGCAGGGGCAACCCUGAUUAGUACUUGGACAGAUGACUGCCAGUGAACACCAGGUGCUGUUGGUU